CAAUUGUCUUCAAUUUUUAUCUCAAUGCUAGUAAAAUACUCGGUUUUUACUAAUUUAUCUCUUCAUGCAAUCUUGUCGCAGGAAUGUCAGAGUCCCGUCCUGUUGAAACGACAACUGCAAAAAAUCCCCAAAGUGUCAUUCCCGAGAUUCGCCUCUGGGACAGUUUCCAUAAAAAUGUCCUGUAUAGAGAGGAGGCUUUGCAAGACUUACGUACUAAUUUCAAGCUUCUUGAUAUUCAGUCAUCAAUGUCUUGAUAGUUGUUGAAAGUCUUGAUUGUUUUCUUGACAAUAGUUUCUUUUAUGGAUUCUUUGUAUUUAGGUAUUAUGUGGACCCAUCUGUAGCUCUAUCCAUCAGUGCUUUUGAUGUUAAAUCAAACGGAAGUAGCUCUAGGUAUCCACCACCCAGAACUGUUUCAAGUUCUCCAGUAAUUUCAGGAACCAUUAUAGCUCCUUUGACUACACCUUCCAAUACUCUCCAGCUAAGAACAACUAAGAUAACAUCCUCUCCAGUCACAAAUCAUCCGUUUAUUCCGAAUGAUGAUAAGAGUUUCUAUGCAAGUGACUUCAGGUCUGCAUUAGCUCCGCAAGAUCCAUUCAACUCCCUCGCAAACAUGGCUGGUGAUUCUCUUUCCUCAUCUGAGGCCUCAUUUGCCAAUUUUGAUAAAAAUCCUAUUUUCUCUUCGGCUACUCAAGACCCUUGUCGGGCAUCGAAGAAAAUAGCUACUUUUGGUGCUAAAGUGGUCAGCGCCGAUACAUCAAUAGCAAGAUUUUUUCCGGAAACCGACAUUAUACUCUGUAAGUGCGUAAUCUAAGCUACAAAAUCAUAUAUUAACAUGCUCAAAAAAACCUCUUAUUCGUGCCCAUAUCGAC
rnacentral:lncRNA from 1 species